UACGUAGGGGGCAAGCGUUGUCCGGAUUUAUUGGGCGUAAAGAGCGUGUAGGCGGCUAGAUAGGUCCGUUGUGAAAACUCGAGGCUCAACCUCGAGACGUCGAUGGAAACCAUUUGGCUAGAGUCCGGAAGAGGAGAGUGGAAUUCCUGGUGUAGCGGUGAAAUGCGCAGAUAUCAGGAGGAACACCGGUGGCGAAGGCGGGUCUCUGGGCCGAUACUGACGCUGAGGAGCGAAAGCGUGGGGAGCAAACAGG
rnacentral:rRNA from 1 species